rnacentral:rRNA from 1 species
GUAUAGAACCUACCUUUUACUGGAGAAUAGCCCAGAGAAAUUUGGAUUAAUGCUCCAUAGUAUCAUUUUUUGGCAUCAUUAGGUGAUUAAAGAUUUAUCGGUAAAAGAUGGCUAUGCGUUCUAUUAGCUAGUUGGUAUGGUAACGGCAUACCAAGGCGACGAUAGAUAGGGGUCCUGAGAGGGAGAUCCCCCACACUGGUACUGAGACACGGACCAGACUCCUACGGGAGGCAGCAGUGAGGAAUAUUGGACAAUGGAGGCAACUCUGAUCCAGCCAUGCCGCGUGUAGGAAGACUGCCCUAUGGGUUGUAAACUACUUUUAUAGAGGAAGAAACCGCUCUACGUGUAGAGCUCUGACGGUACUCUACAAAUAAGGAUCGGCUAACUCCGUGCCAGCAGCCGCGGUAAUACGGAGGAUCCAAGCGUUAUCCGGAAUCAUUGGGUUUAAAGGGUCCGUAGCGGGUUUGUAAGUCAGUGGUG